AGGACGAACGCUGGCGGCGUGCUUAACACAUGCAAGUCGAGCGGAAAGGCCCUUCGGGGUACUCGAGCGGCGAACGGGUGAGUAACACGUGAGUAACCUGCCCUGGACUUUGGGAUAACCCUCGGAAACGGGGGCUAAUACCGGAUACGACGCACUCUCGCAUGGGAUGUGUGUGGAAAGUUUUUCGGUUGGGAUGGGCUCGCGGACUAUCAGCUUGUUGGUGGGGUGAUGGCCUACCAAGGCGACGACGGUUA
rnacentral:rRNA from 1 species